GAUGAACGCUGGCGGCGUGCCUAAUACAUGCAAGUCGAGCGAACAGAUAAGGAGCUUGCUCCUUUGACGUUAGCGGCGGACGGGUGAGUAACACGUGGGUAACCUACCUAUAAGACUGGGAUAACUUCGGGGAACCGGAGCUAAUACCGGAUAACAUUUGGAACCGCAUGGUUCUAAAGUGAAAGAUGGUUUUGCUAUCACUUAUAGAUGGACCCGCGCCGUAUUAGCUAGUUGGUAAGGUAACGGCUUACCAAGGCGACGAUACGUAGCCGACCUGAGAGGGUGAUCGGCCACACUGGAACUGAGACACGGUCCAGACUCCUACGGGAGGCAGCAGUAGGGAAUCUUCCGCAAUGGGCGAAAGCCUGACGGAGCAACGCCGCGUGAGUGAUGAAGGGUUUCGGCUCGUAAAACUCUGUUAUUAGGGAAGAACAAAUGUGUAAGUAACUGUGCACGUCUUGACGGUACCUAAUCAGAAAGCCACGGCUAACUACGUG
rnacentral:rRNA from 1 species